CCGCCCACCUGCAGCAGGUGCGGGGCGCUGAUUGGUUCUCUCGCGCAGGCCACGCCCAUCCCGGCACCGCCCCCCCCGCAGUCGGGGCGCGGCCGCCGCCCCGCACGGACGGGCUCGCUCCGCGCUCCGCCGCCGCCAUGGCCGAUUCCGCCGCGCAGUUCUCGCUCGUCUCCUCCACCUCCUCGUCCAGCUCCGUGACCUCCUCCUCCGCCUCCUCCGCGCGGGCCCCGCUCGGCGGCUGCACGGGCGGCAGUUCCAUGUCUUGCGCCGGAUUUCACCUCAGCUUUCACACCUGGACACCACAAAGCCCCAAAACUCGGCGGUUUCACCCCAAAUCUCACCCUUGGGGGGGAUGUCCAGCGCCGAGAAGGACGGGUGGGAAUUUCGGGGUGACAUCCCU
rnacentral:lncRNA from 1 species